rnacentral:tRNA from 1 species
GGCCCUUUAGCUCAGUGGCUAGAGCAGGCGACUCAUAAUCGCUUGGUCGCUGGUUCAAGUCCAGCAAGGGCCACCA